rnacentral:rRNA from 1 species
CACUCCUGCGGGAGGCAGCAGUGGGGAAUAUUGCACAAUGGGCGCAAGCCUGAUGCAGCGACGCCGCGUGGGGGAUGAAGGCCUUCGGGUUGUAAACUCCUUUCGCUAGGGACGAAGCUUUUUUGUGACGGUACCUAGAUAAGAAGCACCGGCUAACUACGUGCCAGCAGCCGCGGUAAUACGUAGGGUGCGAGCGUUGUCCGGAAUUACUGGGCGUAAAGGGCUCGUAGGUGGUUUGUCGCGUCGUCUGUGAAAUUCUGGGGCUUAACUCCGGGCGUGCAGGCGAUACGGGCAUAACUUGAGUGCUGUAGGGGUAACUGGAAUUCCUGGUGUAGCGGUGAAAUGCGCAGAUAUCAGGAGGAACACCGAUGGCGAAGGCAGGUUACUGGGCAGUUACUGACGCUGAGGAGCGAAAGCAUGGGUAGCGAACAGGAUUAGAAACCCGGGUAGUCC